GAGUUUGAUCAUGGCUCAGAUUGAACGCUGGCGGCGUGCUUAACACAUGCAAGUCGAGCGGUAACAGGCGUAGCAAUACGUGCUGACGAGCGGCGAACGGGUGAGUAAUGCUUCGGAAUCUUCCCGGUGGUGGGGAAUAACUUGGGGAAACUCAAGCUAAUACCGCAUACGACCUACGGGUGAAAGCAGGGGAUCGCAAGACCUUGCGCCAUUGGAUGAGCCGAAGUCGGAUUAGCUAGUUGGUGGGGUAACGGCCUACCAAGGCGACGAUCCGUAGCUGGUCUGAGAGGACGACCAGCCACACUGGGACUGAGACACGGCCCAGACUCCUACGGGAGGCAGCAGUGGGGAAUAUUGGACAAUGGGGGCAACCCUGAUCCAGCGACGCCGCGUGUGUGAAGAAGGCCUGCGGGUCGUAAAGCACUUUUAGUGGGGAUGAAAAGCCAGGGGCUAAUACCUUCUGGUCUUGACCUAACCCAAGAAAAGCACCGGCUAACUCUGUGCCAGCAGCCGCGGUAAC
rnacentral:rRNA from 1 species